AGAAUCAACGCUGGCGGCGUGCCUAACACAUGCAAGUCGAACGAGAAAGUGGUAGCAAUACCAUGAGUAAAGUGGCGCACGGGUGAGUAACACGUGACUAACCUACCCUUGAGUGGGGGAUAACUGAGGGAAACCUUAGCUAAUACCGCAUAAUACCCACGGGUCAAAGGAGCAAUUCGCUCGAGGAGGGGGUCGCGGCCGAAUUAGUUAGUUGGCAGGGUAAUGGCCUACCAAGACGAUGAUCGGUA
rnacentral:rRNA from 1 species